ACCUUUGGGCCUUUCCUCUCCACUCCUGGCGGGCCCAGGCUGAGCACAGGUUUGGGGACUGGGAGGCGCAGCUGGGAGCCCAGGAACUCUGAGACAGGCCUCUCCCACACUGCCUGGCCCCUGCCUCCAGUGCGGGGGGGUUGGGCGGAGACUGCCCGGGCCUCCUUCCCUCCACCUGCUCCUCUGCCGAUGCCUUUCCUCCAGUGAAUCAUCCCCACCGCUGCUGUUGCCCAGGACCACAGAAUGUCAAGCAGCUCCUCACCUGUGGGAGAGACAACCCAUUCGUGCGGGGGCGGAAGCAGUGAGGCUCAGCACUUCUAAAGGAAGAGUGUGUGACAGCUUGAGGACCAGAGGGCCACAGCCAGCCCUUUCCUGCUUCCAGUGGGGGUCCAAGUGCCAGGAUACUGAGGAUAGGAUGGUCUCCCCAUUAGGAAACGGGAUUCCCACGGGCAGUGCCGCAGCUACGAUGCUGAUGUUCACUGAGCACAUGGUGCCAAGGACCCACUGUGGCUGUUUGGCUCCUGACGUUUGCCAGAGGCUCUCCGCAUGCCCAGUGGCACCAGAGGGCCGAGAUGGGCCCUGGAGAAGAAGUCUGUGGGGAGCCAACGAGGGACAGGUGCCUGAC